AACGCAUAUUGCGCCCUCUGGUAUUCCGGGGGGCAUGCCUGUUCGAGCGUCAUUAUCACCCCUCAAGCCCGGCUUGUUGUUGGAUGUCGGCGGUCGCCUCUGCGCCCCGCCCGUCUCAAAGAUAAUGACGGCGUCUGUGAGGACUCCUGUACACUGAGCUUUCGGGCACGUACACGGUUAAGUCUCUCCAGGCCCGGUCUCCGUCGCUUCGGCGACAAAUUAACAAGGUUGACCUCGGAUCAGGUAGGAAUACCCGCUGAACUUAA
rnacentral:misc_RNA from 1 species